AUUGAACGCUGGCGGCAGGCCUAACACAUGCAAGUCGAGCGGAUGAAGGGAGCUUGCUCCUGGAUUCAGCGGCGGACGGGUGAGUAAUGCCUAGGAAUCUGCCUGGUAGUGGGGGAUAACGUCCGGAAACGGGCGCUAAUACCGCAUACGUCCUGAGGGAGAUAGUGGGGGAUCUUCGGACCUCACGCUAUCAGAUGAGCCUAGGUCGGAUUGGCUAGUUGGUGGGGUAAAGGCCUACCAAGGCGACGAUCCGUAACUGGUCUGAGAGGAUGAUCAGUCACCCUGGAACUGAGCCACGGUCCAGACUCCUACGGGAGGCAGCAGUGGGGAAUAUUGGACUAUGGGCGAAAGCCUGAUCCAGCCCUGCCGCGUGUGUGAAGAAGGUCUUCGGAUUGUAAAGCACUUUAAGUUGGGAGGAAGGGCAGUAAGUUAAUACCUUGCUGUUUUGACGUUACCAACAGAAUAAGCACCGGCUAACUUCGUG
rnacentral:rRNA from 1 species